AGGAAUAACCUUGAACAUUUGAUAUUUUUCUAAUUCCCUGUUUUCCCUUGCCUUCUUGGAAGUAGCUUGAGGUGCUUCCUGCUUAUGCUUCCAUCUUGAGCUAAUCGGUGGUCUUACAGCCCCCUUCCACUUUUGUUUGUGUGGAAGCAGGUUAGAGGAGGUUAGGCAGUGUCAGGAAGGGCAGGCAAUUCAGAGGUGCAGUGUAACUGUCUAUACCUUGUAGGGCUGGAUUGUGUUAUCCUGGCUCACCUGAUUUAGAAUAAUAGUGAUUAAAGGUGAUUUUAUUUAAAGAAAGUAUCUAUUCCGCUCCCUUUGCCACCCCCUGCCCCAUAAUCAUAAUUGGGAGACAGAUCUUAUACACAGAGGUAAAAGGAAACACACUGAUGAAUGAACUGAAAAUGAAAGGUUGAGAAGCAGCACACAAUUGUACAUUCUUUGGGAAAAUGCAUUCUGAUUAGUGAUAUGAUUUCUUUUCUUCUUUAGGAAAAUCACCAGCAUUUGAGCAUUUUCUUUGACUAUGCUAAACGUAGCAAGAACAGUGCCUCAUCCUACUUUCUGCCAAUGUUGAAUUGCCAGGAUUUCUUUACUGUACAUAUGGCAGCAAGAAUUAUUGCCAAGUUAGCAGCUUAAGGAAAAGAAUUGAUGGAAGGUAGUGACUUAAAUUACUAUUUCAACUGGAUAAAAACUCAGCUGACUUCACAGAAACUGCGUGGUAGCGGUGUCGCUGUUGAAACAGGAACAGUGUCUUCAAGUGAU